CUAGCUAAGAGCAAAGACAAGACUCUUCGUUGCUUAUUCAUGACGGGUGUGUCCUUGUUUUUCUACCUUUCCAAAAGAAGAAUUUUUCUUGACUUGAUUGUGAGUGGAGAUCCAAAAGGCUGAUAUGUGGGGUUGUGCCUCUGACCCAACCUACGUAGUAGCAUCACCCACCUCCCAUGUAGUGGACAUGGCAGAGAAGAGGAGGAGUAGGAGCGAGUGCUUGCGAUGGAGAGAAGGAAAGAGCAAGCAAGCAAUCAAGCAAGCCGAUCAGAUGUUACCAGAGGCCAGCCCCAGCCCCAGUAGAGAAGGAAGCUUUGAAUGUGCAUCUCCGGAGCGUCAUGCACACCGCAGCCAGGCAGCCAGCCAACGAGCGAUGCACACCAGCAUUAGCAAGGAGGCAGACAGGCACACAGAUAGACACAGAUAUACAGACAGGUGAAGUGCGAUGGGUAGGACUGGGCAGAUGCCCCCACCUUCCAGCCAUCGCCUGAUCCCCUUCCCUCCCUCUGGAGAUAUGCUUCCUGUGGCUGCUGUCAGAACAGCUCCUGCUCCUCAUCCUCCUCCUCGUCCAUUCCCAGAAGGCUGCUGGCUGCACUCUAGAAAUGGACUGCCUCCCUCACCACAUCGCUAGUACAUGAUUCGUACAUCAGAAAGAAAGACGGAAAUUGCCAAUGUGUGUUUUUCUAGAUAUUCUAGAGAUAAAUAUGCAGGUUUGUUGCAGAGUUACUGAGCUAGCACUGGCGGGCAGCUGCAGUCCUCGCUGGUUUGGUUUUAUCGAGUCACAGCGAAGAGAAACUCCAUGCGUUGCUGGUGGACGAAUACCCACGCGUGAGUGUUGCAGAUCCAGUUUCUGGUCCGUGAUGUUGCACCUGUGCCGCAGCGUGGAUCAGACACAGGACGAACCCGUCGAGAAUCCCGCUUGUUUUGAGCUAAUUCUUCAAGGUCUGAUUUGAGAGCAUCUGCAUAAAUUACCUCCUUGCCUUGCCUUGAUGGAGCCUUGUUUUUUUCAAGGUGACGAGUUUGCAUUUCACCGUAGUGGUGCGCACAUUUGAAUUAAAUGCAGUUCUAAUUAGAGAAAGCGGAAUGGGGUUUGUUGACAAAUUACAUUGGCCCCAUCAAAGAGAGUUGCAAUUGAGAGACGGAGAAAUCCUGAGCAGAGUAUUUAAGCAUGUGAGAUGCUAGACUGCGUCUUAUGUAAACGGCAACGGUCAAGCUUCAUGAUCUAUAUUGACAAGGUCAGAAACUCUAAACGUUGUCAGAUGACGUUUUUACAUGAUCCUGAACAAACUGCAUCAUGGCCUGUCGUAGCAAUCGUGAAACCACGAUGAGAUUAAUUUUGAUGUCGAGUCCUGCAGACUUAACUCAAAGCAUGUGAAAUCUCUGAGGCAAAUCCUCAAAUCGACUGGACAUGAAGCAGUUUCCUCAACGCGUUCUCCCUCAGCCUUGUCGUGGAUACAAAUACCGCUUCUCCUUCACUCAGAUUCUAUAAGAGGAAGUCUAAAUCAUACGGCAAGCUCCAUAUUCGAAUGUACUAAGUCUAACUGGUCUGCCCGCGAAAAUCCAGCAACAUCUGAUGCACGAUCUUGGACGGUGAUUUUCUGAUUCUCGUCACCUGCAACUCGCCAUAAAUGUAACCCACAAUGAUGGCUGAGGAAGACUGCUCUUAGACAACCACUGCUAUGGCUGCUAUGGCCGCUACAAGCGCCCUUAUUUCAUCCUCUCUGCAUUCAGUAUGUUUCACGAGUCCAGCAUCGUUUUCGAUGAACUGUCGGGGAGGUCUCAACACCUCCAGGAGCGACCUAGACGUGGUCGCGGAAGCGAGUGACUUUCGUAUGAAAGAUCACCAGACGGCGUGGACAUGUAUACAAUGACACAAUGCCCUCCACAGCUAACCCUCUCAUGUCGCGGCGCAUAAGGACCAAACGAUGUCUAUACCGGGGAAGCUUUUUGGGCGGUUGGGAAUGUUCACGCACCGAAGCAGUGAACAACGUUGACGUGUUUGUGUGCAGAAUCUACAGAAAAUAAGGUGUGGUUUCGGUGUCCGAAGCGAUUGGCCCACGGAUUGGCGAUGAUUGUCAGGACCAGCUUCAGCUUCAUAUUCAACCUAUUAGGUCCUCAAAAUGGUGCACGUGCCAUCAACGGAAUCUGGCUUGCCAGGCGGGUCGGUGUAUAAUUUAAGGAUUUAAAUUAGUGGGGAGUGCAGUGGCAUCCUCGUGCGCCUCUCCGACAUCACCUUUGCAACAGAUUAGAUAGAAGAGGUAGUUUUUCUCCCCCACCUUUCUCCCCUUUUUUUUUCUUUGUUUUUUUUUUUUUUCUUUUGUGUUUUUUCUCGAAGUAUGAUUCACCAACCUGAGGAUGAUGCGCCGAGUCGCUUCGCCGAACUUGCACUGCCUGGUAAUUCUCGGCAACACAGGUACUCAAUAUUCAUAUUUCUCCAUCUCCAACACUGCAUUUCUAUGGACUACCUUCCGACCAGUUCCUCGUCGACAAACCCAGAGCAUGGGGCGUAUGAACAGCCCUCGUUCUCACACCGACUCUGCUUCGGGCAGCAACCGAAGAUAUAAAAUUCGUAACCCACGACGAUCAAGAAGCUAACAUUGGGGGGGACUCGGCAAUAGGUGUUGAAGGAAAACAUCGAGCCUCAAUUGGGAUGUUAUCCAAUAUUGGUCUCGUUCCUUUACGCCCAUCACCAGGCAGCAAGGAAAAGUUGUGGGGAGAAACGGUCCAAACCUUGAGAGGUUUCCUUGCAAAUCAUACAAAAUGGUUACGGAGAUAGGGAGACCAGUCCAUGUGCUAGAAUUCAACGGUUGAAAUGUGGAUUAGCUACGGUACGCAUUUCACCGCGACGUCUGGCAGAGACCGCAUGUACCUUCCUGUGCAAUUCAGCAACUGUAUUUUUUCACUUC